rnacentral:sRNA from 1 species
UGAGCUGAUCGGGGGUGACGUAAUGGACGUGGGUGUCGAUCGCGCCGGCGGUCAUGAUCAUGCCGUUGCCGGCCAUGACCUCGGUGGACGGGCCGAUCACGAGGUUCUCGUCGACCCCGUCCAUCACGUCGGGGUUGCCGGCCUUGCCGAUGCCGCAGAAGCGGCCGUCGCGGAUGCCGACGUCGGCCUUGAUGAUCCCCCAGUGGUCCAGGAUCACCACGCCCGUGAUGACCAGGUCCGGGGUGCCCUCGGCGCGGGUGCGGGCGGACUGCAGCAU